rnacentral:rRNA from 1 species
AGGAUAAACGCUGGCGGCGUGCCUAACACAUGCAAGUCGAACGCGCUUUCGGGCUUCGGUGCGAGAGCGAGUGGCGGACGGGUGAGUAACACAUGGGUACCUGCCUUUCAGUGAGGGAUACCGGCGAGAAAUCGCCGACAAUACCGCAUGGGCUUGUGGGAACACAAGCAAAGUGGCGCAAGCCACGCUGGAAGAUGGGCCUGUGGCCGAUUAGCUAGUUGGGGGGGUAACGGCCUCCCAAGGCGACGAUCGGUAGCUGGUCUGAGAGGACGAUCAGCCACACUGGGAUUGAGAACGGCCCAGACUCCUACGGGGGCAGCAGUGAGGAAUUUUCCGCAAUGGACGAAAGUCUGACGGAGCAACGCCGCGUGCAGGAGGAAGGUUUUCGGAUCGUAAACUGCUUUUCUCGGGGACGAGCAAGGACGGUACCCGAGGAAGAAGCCCCGGCUAACUACGCGCCAGCAGCCGC